AUAUACUCAUUCGUAUUUCAAACUUCAAUCAGGUGUCAACUGUGAAACGAUUGUGCGAAACUGUACGAACAUGUUCAUCACUUCUGCAAUUAAUGACUGGAGUCCAUUUUUAUUAUGUACGGCCUUGGCCAUUUUGUUGGCUGUCUGGUAUUGGAGUCGAUCGCAGUUCGUACGGCUCAUCAAUGCAAUUCCAGGACCUAAAUGUCUUCCAUUUUUGGGCAACCUUCUCGAUUUGAAUGCUGGUUACGACGAGCUUUUCAAGAAAUUUACCUUUGACUGGAUUCAAAAGUAUGGCGGUAUGUUUCGCAUUUGGUUAACAUUUUACUAUCCGUAUGUUAUUAUUGGGUCACCGGAGCUGUUACAGCCCAUUUUGUCAUGCCAAAUCAUUGGUCCAGUACCCAAAGAGUGUGACCCGAUCAAAGAACAUAUUGGCGACAGCAUCGGUGUACUGGCAGGAGAAGAGUGGAAGCAGCGCCGCCGGAUGCUCACGCCAGCGUUUCAUUUUCAAAUCCUGAACAGUUUUGUCGACAUCUUCAACGAGAAAAGUGUCGAAUGCGCCCGCACUUUGGAUGGGGCUAUCGAAACGCAUAAGGACAUCGAGUUCGAUAUUAUGCCCAUAAUGACACGAUUCACUCUGGAUAUCCUCUGUGAUACGUCCAUGGGACGAAAGCCUAGAACUGACGAGAAAAAGGAACUAUAUCUUGAAAACAUGGAAGCAAUUCACCGAAUCCAUAUGGAACGUUUUCUGAAACCUUGGCUUCAAAUCAAAUGGAUUUUCAAACUGAGCCGUCUCAGCCGUUUAAACACAUUUCACAUUGCUGCUUCCCGUGCAUUCUACGAUCAGGUAAUCGAAGACCGGCGUCAAUUGCUCAAAGAAGAAAAAGAGAAACAUUCCAAUCAGCCGGUGGCUAAUGAUGGUGUCAACAAUAGCAUUUACCAAGAAAACAACGUGGAUUCAUCAAGAAAGAGGCCGGCUUUGUUAGAUACUCUGUUAAAGGCUUCGGAAGAAAAUCCAAACUUCACUGACGUGCAAAUCCGGGAUGAAGUUAGCCUCUUCAUGAUUGGGGGUCAUGAGACAACAGCUUUCACUCUUGCAAUGUUCUUUUACCUGAUGGCGAAGCAUCCCGGACAUCAGCAAUUAGUAGUUGACGAGUUGGCUGAGGUGUUUGGUGAUUCUGAUCGCCCUUGCACGUCAAACGAUUUCGCGCAGCUCAAAUACUUGGACUGCUGCAUUAAAGAGACUUUGAGGUUGUACCCUGGCAUCCCCCUAAUGCUUCGAUCCAUUCCGGAAGACAUCCAAGCAGGUGGUUUCACGCUGCCCAAGGGCUUGACCGUUAUACUCAACUUCUAUGCAACGCAUCGCAAUCCCGCGGUUUUCCCUGAUCCUGAAUCUUUCAAGCCGGAACGAUUUCUUCCGGAGAAUAGCAUAGGGCGUCAUCCGUAUGCCUUUGUUCCAUUUAGCGCUGGUCCUCGUAACUGCAUUGGUCAAAAAUACGCCAUGUACGAACUGAGGGUAGUGAUAGCCAAUUUUCUUCGUUGGUUCCGCUUUUCCGUCUCCGAUCCGUCUGCACCGCUAGAAGUACCUACCAUUGCAAUAAUGCUAAAGCCAAAGAAUGGCGUUCGCGUGAUUGUCUCUAGGAGAUCUAACCUCCCCUAAUAAGAUAUACAAGAAAAACACUUGGAUUUGUGCAUAUACAUUUUAUAACGUAGACGAAGGGAGUGACGCAAGUUUCAGCGAUCCAACGGUCAACUGCAUCGGCUAUAGAUAAAAGAAGAUUCUUAGGCCACCGAAUUUUUUUUUAAAUUGGCUUUUAUUCUGAAGUGUUUAAGUGCACUUGUUUUCUGCUCGUUCUCCUCCCGCGUUAGACAAACGCCUGCGUUCAAGGAAAAAAUCGAUAUCGUUAAGUAUUUACCCGUUUUUCUUUAGUUAUUAUUUUUAUGUGGCCAAGAGGGCGCCCCUUAUCGUGCUGUGUUAAAAGGAUAAGCACAGCGUGCACUCAACUAUCACAACGAACAUUGCCUAAUGGAACCCAUAUAGCUUUUGCUAAAAUUUUAUCCCGCAACAAUUUCAGACAACUAAGGUUUUGUAAAUGUCAAUGACGAGGUUAAAGUCUGCCAGGCGGGGAUAUAAGAAACGACCCAGAAGAGAAUUCUCCACUGUAUUGGCUAAAAUCGAUAUCCAUCCAAUCCGCCGUCCAGCUGGUCUUCGAUGGACACAGUGUCCAUUGUCGCUAUUUUUCUCCGCAAGUGUCAAUUAUAGGAACUCUACGCGUCCACUGCAAAACUUUUUCAAUCAACAAAAGUCCAAGCGUCGCUUUGAGUUAUUCAAAACGCACGUCAUGCUGAAAUUUGCCUUUACGAUGUGCGGCCGUUUAAAAGGUCAGCCAGUCCGUCACACGUCCAUAACAAUGAUGAAACGUGACUGCUCAUUAUAAUGGAUUGUACGUAAAUGUAUGCGAAAUACAGGAAUAGCCCAUGGUCGAUGAA
rnacentral:misc_RNA from 1 species